GCCCGGCUGGCGCAAUGGUAGCGCAUCAGUGAGUUUUCCCCCCGUUCUUACGCAGCCCACGGAGGGGUUGCGAAGAAUUUUAGUUCCAAAUCUAACCGAGAUCCCAGGACUUCUAAUCUGGAGGCUGUGGGUUCGAGCCCCACGUCGGGUG
rnacentral:tRNA from 1 species